rnacentral:rRNA from 1 species
CGGCACGGGUGAGUAACGCGUGGAUAAUCUACCCUUAAGAUGGGGAUAACGGCUGGAAACGGUCGUUAAUACCGAAUACGCUCCCGAUUUUAUCAUUGGGGGGAAAGAUGGCCUCUGCUUGCAAGCUAUCGCUUAAGGAUGAGUCCGCGUCCCAUUAGCUAGUUGGCGGGGUAACGGCCCACCAAGGCAACGAUGGGUAGCCGGUCUGAGAGGAUGACCGGCCACACUGGAACUGGAACACGGUCCAG